rnacentral:rRNA from 1 species
UGAGGAAUAUUGGACAAUGGGCGCAAGCCUGAUCCAGCCAUGCCGCGUGCAGGAAGAAGCAUCUAUGGUGUGUAAACUGCUUUUGUACGGGAAGAAACACUCCUUCGUGAAGGAGAUUGACGGUACCGUAAGAAUAAGGAUCGGCUAACUCCGUGCCAGCAGCCGCGGUAAUACGGAGGAUCCAAGCGUUAUCCGGAAUCAUUGGGUUUAAAGGGUCCGUAGGCGGUUUAGUAAUCAGUGGUGAAAGCCCAUCGCUCAACGAUGGAGCAGCCAUUGAUACUGCUAGACUUGAAUUAUUAGGAAGUAACUAGAAUAUGUAGUGUAGCGGUGAAAUGCUUAGAUAUUACAUGGAAUACCAAUUGCGAAGGCAGGUUACUACUAAUGGAUUGACGCUGAUGAGCGAAAGCGUGGGGAGCGAACG